UCCUUUUCCCACUUUUCCCCCAGGAGCUUGCUACAAGUGCCAGAAAUCUGACCACCAGGCCAAGGAAUGCCUGCAGCCCAGGAUUCCUCCUAAGCUGUGUCCCAUCUGUGCAGGACCCCACUGGAAAUCAGACUGUUCGACUCACCUGGCAGCCACUCCCAGAGCCCCUGGAACUCUGGCCCAAGGCUCUCUGACUGACUCCUCGGCUUAGCAGCUGAAGACUGAUGCUG
rnacentral:lncRNA from 1 species